AUGAAUACUGCAACCUCCUUUCUUGCUUAUCAUGACAAGAUUGUGUUUUUCUUGAAAACAGAGAAAAGGACAUUUCUUAUUGGUUUCCCUUCAUUUCAUUUCAGACAAAUGUUGCGUGGACUCUCAUAUUUUUUAAACGCCUGUCUCCUUUGCCUAGCAAGGGUUAUCCUAGAGGACAGCAUAUAUCAACUCCUGACUUUUUAAGAGUCUGAAUCCUAGAAGUCCUGGGAGCUGCUCUCUAGGAUUUCCCAGCAUGCUUGGUGACAAUUGCAUCGGGGCUAAGAGGAACCUUGGAGCAUUUGAAUCCUCUGUGAUCUCAACCAUAAAACCAGAGACAGUCAUACAACUCACAUGUAGAGGCCUCAAUCCCCUUCUGAAAGCCCAGCUAUAGUCCCUGUCAUUCAGCUGCUGUCUCAUUAAUUUCUACAAAUAAUAUCCUCAUGAAUGGAAGUGUUACCAGUUUUAUAUUCAGAUUAAUUCUCAUUUAUAAGAAAUUUUUAUCUAUUUGAGUAGAUUUUUAAAUUGAGGAAUUUUAUGAUUUUUCACCUAGGAUCAGAACUUAAAAAUCUUGUCUUCUCUGUAUUAGAUAUUCAGACUUCUGGCUAUGCUUCUCUGCACAGAAUCUUAAAUCCUUCAUUUGUGGUUAUUUGUUGGCAUUUUGCAAGAGAGUGAAGCAAUGUCUGAGCCACUAGAGGCCAGAGGUGGCCCACCCUGACUGGGUUUCCAACAGUGGAAUAAAUGUGAUUUGUCUCGCA
rnacentral:lncRNA from 12 species